rnacentral:rRNA from 1 species
GACGAACGCUGGCGGCGUGCUUAACACAUGCAAGUCGAACGGAAAGGCCCUGCUUUUGUGGGGUGCUCGAUUGCCGAACGGGUGAGUAACACGUGAGUAACCUGCCCUUGUCUUUGUGAUAACUUCAGGAAACUGGGGCUAAUACCGGAUAGGAGCUCCUGCUGCAUGGUGGGGGUUGGUAAGUUUCGGCGGUUGGGGAUGGACUCGCGGCUUAUCAGCUUGUUGGUGGGGUAGUGGCUUACCAAGGCUUUGACGGGUAGCCGGCCUGAGAGGGUGGACGGCCACAAUGGGACUGAGGUACGGACCAGAAUGCUACGGGAGGCAGCAGUGGGAAAUCUUGCACAAUGGGCGGAAGCCUGAUACAGCAACCCUGGGUGCGGGAUGACGGCCUUCGGGUUGUAAACAGCUUUCGCCUGUGACGAAGCGUGCGUGACGGUAAUGGGUAAAGAAGCACCGGCUAACUACGUG